GAAUUACAAGGCACUCAUGCUGCUGUUGUGAGGGGUGGAAGAGAACCUGGAACAGCAUUGAGAUGGAUUAUUGUGACUUCUCUCAUGUUUGAGUUAUUAGUAACUUCAAGGUUGUUCAGCCCUGGGUCACUGUUUUAGUUCUCAACAAAUGAUGACUUUUUAGCAAGAUAGAAAAGCCAGGUGAAAGAAUACUUCUC